rnacentral:rRNA from 1 species
UACAGAGGGGGCUAGCGUUGUUCGGAAUUACUGGGCGUAAAGCGCGCGUAGGCGGCGCGAUAAGUUAGGAGUGAAAUCCCAAGGCUUAACCUUGGAAUUGCUCUUAAGACUGUCGUGCUAGAGGUUGGUAGAGGAUGGUAGAAUUCCUAGUGUAGCGGUGAAAUGCGUAGAUAUUAGGAGGAAUACCAGUGGCGAAGGCGGCCAUCUGGACCAAUUCUGACGCUAAAGUGAGAAAGCGUGGGGAUCAAACAGG